ensembl:lncRNA
UAGUACAAAAUGAAAACUUAUGAAUUGUUUAUUUCUGGAAUUUUUCAUUUAAUAUUUUCAGAUGAUGGUUCAGGUCAAGUAACAGAAACUAUAGAUAAAGGGGGCUACUCUACUACACAAUACGAAGAUUCUGCCUGAGUGCCUUCAAGCUGGGAUUUUGUCUUCCCCUGUCUUCUGUUUCGUACUUGGAAUGGAACUAUACCAUCAGCUCUCCUGGGCCCCCAAGCUUGCUGACAGCAGGUCUUGGAACUUCUCAGUCUCUAAAAUUGAUAUGUGAUCCUUAAGCACCGAAGUGAAUAAACGUUAUAAUGGGAUGCAAAUUAAGCAGUUUGAUAUUUCCUUAAGAUCUUCAAAAAGAGAAAAGCCAUCUGCCCCGAUGAUAGAUGUUCCUCUCCUGAAGGCACUGAAUGAUCUUCAAGAUACUUCUGUCUUGAUUGCUGUUGCAUCACCCAACAAUUUGGAUUUUUAACUGAUCAUCUUCCUCAGUCUUGUGUGAAAUGGCUUGAAGGAGGCAAGAGUGUGAACAAUCUGAAUGAAUAAUAUAUGAUUGAAAUAGUUCCUGUGGAGAAAUCAUGGUGAUUGUAUUGGUGGUGCUGUAAGGGGGAUAAAGUGAACAGAUGUACUUUGGAGAUAGGUCUUGGAGCAGGAUUGCAUGCUAGAAGUGAGAGAGGGAGAGUUAACAGAAAUCAUUCCUAGUAGUCUUGCUUAAUCAACUAAGUGCAUGGUAGAACCAUCUACUGAAGUAGGGAAGAUCAGGAAAAAUGUACAUUUCUGGGGGAUGAUCCAGAACUGGUUUUAAGAUUAUACUCACAAGAUGUCAAUUAGGUUGCCAACUAGGUAUGCCAAUUAUAGCCUUGGUUAUAAAAUUAUAGGCAAGACUACAGUUUAUUUUAAGAAGGACAUAGUGUCAAUAUGUCACAAUCUAUUGAGAGGGCAAGUAAACUGCUGUCAGCUGGGUCAUUAAUUCAUUAGAUAUUUACUGAACAGAAAGCCAGAUUCCUGAUGUGCGGGAAGAUGUACAAAGUAUAGCUACAGGUGUUGGAUGGCUAAGUCACAGCAAUAAGGGUGAACUCUGAAGAAUACCUGGGCCGGGUGCGGUGGCUCAAGCCUAUAAUCCCAGCACUUUGGGAGACCAAGGCGGGUAGAUCACGAGGUCAACAUAUGGAGACCAUCCUGGUCAACAUGGUGAAACCCCGUCUCUACUAAAAAUACAAAAAAUUGGCUGGGCAUGGUGGCGCGUGCCUGUAAGCCCAGCUACUCAGGAAGCUGAGGCAGGAGAAUUGCCUGAACCCAGGAGGUGGAGGUUGCGGUGAGCCGAGAUCGCGCCAUUGCACUCCAGCCUGGGGUAACAAGAACUAAACUCCGUCUCAAAAUAAAAAAUAAAAAUAAAAGAAUACCUUAGAUCCAGAGAGAAGGUAGAAAGAAAGACAUUCAUUCAUUCUUUCACUCAUUUAUUCACUCAUUCAUAUAACAAACAGUGUUUGAGUACUAGUCCAAGUAAAAGAAACCACGUACACAAAUCCAUGACUUUAGAAUAGGCCAAGCUUUUCAUUAGAACAAAGAGCAGCAUACUGCUACCAGAGUUUUUGAUUGGCAAAUCCUGUACUUUAAUUUCUACUGUAAUUUCUCUUCUAUGCAGAAAACAAUGUAUUUUUCUUAGGAUAAAGAAAGAAAAUGAUUUAUUUUCACUGAAGAACCCAUUAAUGCAGUGUCUUUGCAGAAAAUCAUAGAGGACUAAAUUCAUUCAAGUAGUUUUGGAUUAACUAAUAAGCAUUUUGCAUUAAACUUAACCUGAUAGUGAUAUAAAAGUAGUCAAAGAAAUUGUAUGACAAGGGUAUAAUUAGAAAACUGAGUGCUAAACAAUGGCAUAUUGACCAGAAAUAUAAUCCAAUAAAUAUGAAUUAAACUCAAAAUAUAGUUUUCCUGAAAAUAAAUGAAGAUGUUAUCUAAUAAUACAUUCUGAAUCAUCAGUCUCCUCCAUCCUUCACCUUACUUAGCUUUUGCUAAAGAUACAGUGAUUUCUGUUCCAUUGUGUGCGAUGAGAAAAAUAUGCCAUGACUUUACUAUAUUUUUCAUUAAGGUUAGAAAAGAAAACGUCUUGGAAAGACUGUAAUAUAGUAUCUGAGGCUGGAAGAGUUUUAACAUUUACAUAGAAAAUAACGCCAUUUUCCCUUGAAGGACGAAAUCAGGCUAUAAAAGGUCCCUUCUCUGAGCUUUGCCCAGGCCAUGAUCUUGGGACUAUCAGCUAUAAUGAGUGCUGUGUGGCUAAGUCCCUAUGCAUUGUACUGAAUAUUUAUCCUGACAAAGUGUCUGUAGAUAUAAUGAAUGUAACAGCCACAUUAGAAUUACAAGCUGUAAAAAAACAUUGCAGUAUGAAUUAUUUGUCAAGAAAUAAAAGAUGCA